CCCUUAGAUGUUCUGGGCGGCCCGCGCACUACAUUGGCACUGGCAACAAGAUCCUAGAUCUGGUAUUUCGGGGUAUUCUACCAACUGGUGUCGUGACUGGGAUUAACCCCUGCAAUUAUUGGUUAUGAACGAGGAAUUCCUUGUAAUCACGGUUUAUCAACCCGUGUUGAAUGCGUCCCUGCCCUUUGUACACACCGCCCGUCGCUCCUACCGAUUGAAUGAUCCGGUGAGGCCCCCGGAUUGUGGCAAUGGCUCUGGUUCGCCAGACCAAUGCUGCGAGAAGCUGUCCAAACCUUAUCAUUUAGAGGAAGGAGAAGUCGUAACA
rnacentral:rRNA from 1 species